CCGCUGCUCGUGAAUCUCUGAUUCUCAGGUAUGAUGUAAACCUUUUCCCUUCUUGCUGUAGCUUUCUGCAAUUUAGAAUAGCUGAUUAGGGAUUUGCAUUGUCGAAUCCCGAAUUAGGGAUUUGCAUUGUCGAAUCCCUUUUUAGGGAUUUGCAUUGUCGAAUCCCUUUUUGGGGUUAGCAUGCUUUUGUUUCCAGGUGUAUUGUCAGAUAGUUUCCAGUUGCCUUGGCUUGAAACAGUUUGACCAUCAGUUUGGGACAGAUAAUGGGAGCCUGUGAAAUGCAGCUCCUGUUUGUGCAAUCUCAGGUGCUCGGUGGACCACCAAAAAGUAGAUGCAGUUGUGAUUUUGGGGUAUACCCAACCAGUUCUUAAAGCAUGCCAAAGUUUAGUGUUGGUUUGUUUUUUAUAUGAAUUUUGUUUUCUACGGAUGACUAUAUAGAUUUGGAUGAGUAUAUAGAUUUUAUAUGAAUUCUGUUCAGUGUUGUUUUGUUUUUGUUUUUUGUUUUUUGUUUUUUGUUUUUUUCUUUAUUCACUUUUAACUUAGAUGGAAAAAAGCUAUUCUCAAGCUACAAUGUUACAAUUUCUGCUUAGAUUUAUGCUAUGGCUUUCUAAUCAUGUAAUAAAUGCUGGCUUAACAAUGCCAAUAAUCUCAGUCUUAAAAGAUGUUAAUUCUCAUGCUUCUUUAUAUUAGGAACAAAUAGACUAAGCAAUUCUACUUCAUAUUUUCUGUUUAGUUGAAUAUGCAAUUUUAUUUGACACAUUUAGUACCUGUUUGGUAGAUCCAAAAAUAUGUUCAUCUCAUUUUAGCUAACAAUAAUUAUGAAUUAGAGAUUGUUAUCUGUAUCACAUAAUCACUUUUAACAUGAACUCAUUAUCUAUUAGAGAUCAAGAUUAAUGCAUAGUUUUUGUAAACGAAAAUGAGAUCAAUUCAUUAUCUAUUAGAGAUCAAGAUUAAUGCAUUUUCAUGGGUAUUUAUAUAUUUCCAACACUAUCAUUUUUGACUUGCCAUCUGCUAGUAUCCAACCUGUUUUGAUAAAAUUAGAUCCAAAACUUUUGUGACCCACAAAAAAAUGAUAUUAGGUGCAACCAAACACACCCUAAAAGCAUUCAACCAGACGUGCCCCUUUGCAUGAUAGCAGUGUACCAUAAUUAAGAAAGUGUUGUAUUGCAAUCACCUUUCAAAUAGAAUCCGUGUGUCAUGUGAAAAAAAAAUUCAUUUAUUUGAUAAGCGCUUUUAGAUGCCACUUAACCUGAUUGGUGCUCUCCCUUUGCCUCAUCUCUUGCCCAAAGAAUUUUGGAUUGAAAACCAAAGGCUGUCAUAACCUGCAAUGCUGUUCGCCGAGGUUCCAAAGUCAUCCAUCUAAAAGAUAUUGUUGAUGUAGCAUUGGUCGAAUCAACCAAAAAUGGGGUCUCUGUAGACAUAUCUAUUUAAUGACUACCAGGAAGAUAUUGGGACCAUUAAGUCCUUUUUUGAUGCUAACUUGACUCUUACAUAUUAGCCUCCCAAGUUUUAAUUUUAUGAUCUGCUGAUGCCAAUCUUCACGUCUCCUAGGUUUAUACCACCAACAAAGAUAGAAAAAUACUAGAUUUUGGACUAAGGGAAUGCGGUAUUGAACAUUCCAUAGUUUGGACACGCUCAAGACUGAAGUAUGGGUCUGAACUGAGGGUAAUGCAUGUCUCAUCCAUGACGUAGUUCCUUGACAGAGAUGUGUGAAUGGUAUCAUGGUAUGAACUCUUGCUGUUUUUCUUUCUUAGACAUCUAUUUGGUGACCCCCAUGAAAGGAUGAUGACAUCCACCUAUU